UGUCUGCUCUAUGCUAC
rnacentral:misc_RNA from 1 species